UACGGAGGAUGCAAGCGUUAUCCGGAUUUAUUGGGUUUAAAGGGUGCGCAGGUUGUUUGAUAAGUCAGUGGUGAAAGUCUGUCGCUUAACGGUAGGAUUGCCAUUGAUACUGUUGGACUUGAAUAUGGAUGAGGUAGGCGGAAUGUGUAGUGUAGCGGUGAAAUGCAUAGAUAUUACACAGAACACCGAUUGCGAAGGCAGCUUACUAAUCCAUCAUUGACGCUGAGGCAUGAAAGCGUGGUGAUCAAA
rnacentral:rRNA from 1 species